rnacentral:rRNA from 1 species
UACGGAGGGUGCAAGCGUUGUCCGGAAUCACUGGGCGUAAAGGGCGCGUAGGCGGCCUGAUAAGUAGGGGGUGAAAUCCUGCGGCUUAACCGCAGGGCUGCCUUCUAAACUGUCAGGCUGGAGCACAGUAGAGGCAGGUGGAAUUCCCGGUGUAGCGGUGGAAUGCGUAGAGAUCGGGAAGAACAUCAGUGGCGAAGGCGGCCUGCUGGGCUGUUGCUGACGCUGAGGCGCGACAGCGUGGGGAGCAAACAGG